rnacentral:sRNA from 1 species
UACAUAACGCAUGCAAAUGGUGGCUUUU